rnacentral:rRNA from 1 species
GUCCACGCCGUAAACGAUGAUAACUAGCUGUCGGGGCCUUAGGCUUUCGGUGGCGCAGCUAACGCAUUAAGUUAUCCGCCUGGGGAGUACGGCCGCAAGGUUAAAACUCAAAGAAAUUGACGGGGCCUGCACAAGCGGUGGAGCAUGUGGUUUAAUUCGAAGCAACGCGCAGAACCUUACCAGCGUUUGACAUCCUCAUCGCGGUUACCAGAGAUGGUUUCCUUCAGUUCGGCUGGAUGAGUGACAGGUGCUGCAUGGCUGUCGU